ACUCAUAGCCCUGUGCGCUUAAUUCUCCAUGCCUGUGCAUCAGCAUUGCAGUAGACUUUUCCAUAUGCUCCUUCCAAUCUGAACAACAGCAUGGAUUGUUAUUUCCAACCUACAGAGGAAAGAACCGAGGCUCAGAGAAGUGAACUAAGUUGCCCAGAACGUAUUGCCGAUAAGUGGAUGAACCCGAUUAUUUAUUUAUUUAAUGAACAUACUAAGUUAUGCAUUGAGCUACGGAGAGAACAAAGAUGAAUAAAAUGUGUUGGUUCUGGCCAAGAAGAAAUUCAGCGUAGGAACGGAAGAUGGCAAUUAUACAACAAUAUGGUAAGUGCAAUGACAGCCGUACAUGGGGCAUGAGGCUAAGUACCAAGAGGGGCAUCUAAUGCAGCUGGGAUGCGCAGGGUGGACUUCCUGGAGGAGGUGGUGUUUGAACUGCGGACGAUAAGCGGGAGGUAGUUCCGUGAAGAGAGGCCGUGGGGUGGGGCAGAACAUUCCAGAAAGCGGAGGCAGCACAAUCGAGGCGUGGAACUGCAAAACAGCAAGGCAGGUGGAACUAUUAACGAGUUCCAUGUUGCACUAAGGUUGGUCCAACUGGGCUUUAUCUAACUUCGAAAUGCAAGCCCUCUUCCGCUGCGCUGGACCUCCUUAACUGGUUCAUUUUGGAGGUCGUGGCUUGUAUGGUACUUCCUGGGGGCUUUGGGUGCCCAGUUUUUACUUUUAAAAGUCCCUUGUGUAAUUAACAGAGUGUGGGAGGCGUUUCCUGGCACUUCUCCACUGUGACUUCUCAGCAGGGCUUCGGGAGUACCAGGAGGUGGCCAUGCCAAAGGCUUUUGACUGAGGGAAAGUCAACCCACCGCCCAGGGUGCCAUGACUGCCCCACGGCAUCUCGGAAGAAGUAGGCCAAAGAUCAUCAGGAAACAGUGGCUUCUGGGUUCACUGCCGCAAAGCAAGCUAUGGGAGUUUAUGUUCAGUAGACCACAACCACCUGGACAAAUGAUAACUACAGGUGGGAGCCUGUGCUUGUUGACCUCCCGAAGUCCCUUCCAAAAUGGUAGGUCCAUGAAGGGGACAGAGUGCACCGUUCAGAAAGGCUGGAACUUCCCAACACCCACGGAGAGAGGGACAUUGAUGACAGCUUCUUUCAAGAGCCAGUUUCUUACAUUUGUAGGAGCAAAAGGUGGUGUAGAAUUUAAAGUCGACAGUGAUCUUUCCUUCAUGUUUGGAUGGUUUUUCCUUCUGGAUUUCAGAAGCCCAUGA
rnacentral:lncRNA from 1 species